rnacentral:rRNA from 1 species
UACGGGGGGGAGCAAGCGUUUGUUCGGAUUUACUGGGCGUAAAGGGCGCGUAGGCGGUCGUGACAAGUCACUUGUGAAAUCUCCGGGCUUAACUCGGAACGGUCAAGUGAUACUGUCGGACUAGAGUACAGAAGGGGCAACUGGAAUUCUCGGUGUAGCGGUGAAAUGGCGUAGAUAUCGAGAGGAACACCUGCGGCGAAGGCGGGUUGCUGGGCUGAUACUGACGCUGAGGCGCGGAAAGCCCAGGGGAGCGAACGGG